CCACAGACAAUGGGAGGCAGAAAUUGAUAGGACUCUGUGACUGUUAGUAUGGUGCACGUUUUUUUCUGACCCAUCUUUAUUGUCUCUAAUUUCUCUCACAGGUUUGGUGCUCUGGAAAAUACAGUUAUAAAUGUAAACUGUCUUUCUCAUGGUAAGCAUGCUCCUAAAGUGAUAUAAUAAUUAUGACCUCAUUUGGGAAGUAUCACAAUCACCCUCAUACUUACCUUUUGGCCCUGGUCACUCUCAUUUUGGGGAGGAUCCUGGGAGAUCUUCAAAGGAUUGUCCAUUGCCUUUAAAUCUGAGAAGUUCUGUUAUUCCUUUGGAUGAAGGCAAUUAGCCAACGUAAAUGGCCACCGCAGUUGCAGAUUUACUGAGCACCAAAUAAAACUUCGCAAGAUACCAUCCGUUACCUCACUGCUCAUCUCCUACACCCUUCCUGAAGCAGGAGACCAGAAUAGGGGACACAGGUGGGCUGGAAUAGUAGGAACAAAAUUAGGAUCAACAAGAAGAAAAGCCAUGGUAAGCUGUAACUGUUACAGCAACACUUUGCUUGCUCCUGUUUGGGGAAGCCCCUUGGGAGGCGCCUGCCACAGAUGGAGGGCAAGAGUGUCUUCAAGUGACUCUGACUUCAUUAUGCCAUCAUCACCACAAAGUAUUGCCCCUCUGAAUGGGCUUUGGAAGCCUUGACACUUUAUUUGUGACAAAUAAAGUAACAAAUUCCCCUGCCCCACUGAUGGGAGGAACUAACAUUCUCAUUGGCCUGGGGGACAUCUAUGCAGGAAAGAGGAAAGGAAAGGAGAAACCUAACACAACUCCAAGGCCACUGUCUGCUUGUAUGUAUGCCCACUCUCACCCCUUCAGAGUGUACCACCCCCUGCUUGCUUUUGGGAGUGGGUUUGCUAAAUAAAACUUUCUGCUUAUGCUUCCCUAAUUUGGUGUUUGGUUUCAAUUUUUUGUCACUGGACACAAGGACGGAGGAAGAUCACACUGGCGACAUUCCCUUUUUCCUGUGCACUCCCCUUUAUCUUUAAAUGCAAAAUUCUUUACCUCUUCUACCGAGAGCCUAGUCCACAGGAGACUUUUCCCGGGUAUGUCCUUGAAAUCUUGGCUUCUAUUGAGUGUCACUGUCUUGUUUUCAAUAACUUAUUUUUUAAGUUAACAGCUAUAAGCAAAUUUUUUCUCUCCCAGUUAAAGACAUGUCUUUGUGUUAGAGGAGAUUGUACAAUAAUGGUUUGUGCUUGCUCCCUAAAAAGUCAUUCA